UACGUAGGGUGCGAGCGUCAAUCGGAAUUACUGGGCGUAAAGCGUGCGCAGGCGGUUCGUUGUGUCGGUGGUGAAAUCCCCGGGCUUAACCUGGGAAUGGCCAUGGAAACUGGCGAACUGGAGUGCGGCAGAGGGGGGUGGAAUUCCGCGUGUAGCAGUGAAAUGCGUAGAGAUGCGGAGGAACACCGAUGGCGAAGGCAGCCCCCUGGGCUAGCACUGACGCUCAGGCACGAAAGCGUGGGGAGCAAACAGG
rnacentral:rRNA from 1 species